UCUAGGCCAGGCACGGUGGCUCACGCCUGUAAUCCCAGCACUUUGGGAGGUCAAGGUGGGUGGAUGACCUGAGGUCAGGAGUUCAAGACCAGCCUGGCCAACAUGCUGAAACCCAGUCUCUACUAAAAAUACAAAAAUUAGCCAGGUGUGGUGGCAGAUGCCUGUAGUCCCAGCUGCUCAGGAGGCUAAGGCAGGAGAGUCACUUGAACCCAGGAGGCAGAGGGUGCAGUAAGCUGAGAUUGCACCACUGUACUCCAGCCCUGGUGACAGAGCAAGACUCUGUCUCAAAAAAAAAAAAAAAAAAUUUAAGAAUAAGAAAUCUUACUUUAUGCAUUAAAUAAUCACUGGUCACAAAAUAAA
rnacentral:lncRNA from 1 species